rnacentral:sRNA from 1 species
AAAAAUAAUCAUUACAUUGAUAUCUUGAGGUUGUCUUUGCGAAAUGUGUUGUUCUUUCAUUCCAACUAGAUUUAGCAGAUAUGCAAAAUUAUAUUUGUGUAAAAAGGAGAGGUUACAUUUGAUCUUUCACUUGGGGUGGUCUUGCUAGUAAAAAAAACCAACAGAAAAAUGUGUGUUAGCUUCAAAUCUUACCAGUGGUUUCUGGGUACAAAGUUGAUGGAGGUUUUAUGAAUUUGUUAUGAGUUUUUGCACAGGUGCCUGCUACACCCAUUGGCUUGUGUAGUGAACUCCUCAAAUCAAUUUCCCAUUUACUGGGUUGAGGAAUUCUACAGAAUCCAGGGUGGGUGCAUCAGUCGGGUCUUUUCAUCUUUCUUAAACUUCAAAUUGGCAUGUUGCACGAUCUUCAAUGUGAACAGUAGUUUUGGGAGGUGUCAGAAUAGGGUACCAUAGUAACCACAUUUGAUAUAGGAACAGAAUAGAACCAGUUUUUGACUGCUCAUUUGAGAACCAGUUACUGAGUAAGAGUUUUAUGCACUUGAACUUCAUUUAGCACAUUCAGGACUUAGUUCUUUGAUGUUUUUUCCUUCUUCUUAUCCUGUCUGCUUUUCACUCCCAUUAUACAAGUACUGCUGCAUCACGAUAUUUUCCUUAUUAUCAGGGCAUAUGAAUCUGCACACUGCGUGCCUGUUUCUAUACAACCGUUUGCCAAACUUUUUUACGCAACUUGCUAUUUGUUUAUAAGAUAUAAUAUGAUAAAGACGGAGCUCCGUUUAUAAACAGUAGAUUAUAUCAUGUUUGUUAGUCAAAACUGCAGGUUGUUCCUCUUGAUGCAAUGGUUUUUAAAAAUCAUUAGUCAAUUUAGUUGAAACACUGAUAAAAAAAGAAAGAAUGAAAGAGUAUAUCAAGAAGCUUGAAGGUCACCACACGCAGGAACGAGUGUCCAGGGUAUUUAUUCAUAUUUAGCCAUUGUAAUUUAUCCGACAGUUAUGUCAAAGGUCUUUUCUUUAAAAUCAGGGAGUGUUAAAGGAGCCAGUCCGUAGGUUUAAUGGCCGGCACAGAAUAAGCUGUUAGUGGUGUAAAGCUCAUUCAAAUCAUGAUUGCCAUGAAUAAGUGGACAUUUUCUGUCAUUACGGCCUUUUCAUCUGGGUUUGAAGUGUGAUAGAUUGGAGGCAUUUAAUUUUCUUUUGGUUUUAUUUUCGGAGACCAACAGUAAUGUCUUUCAACGUUUUUUUUCCACCCUUGACCUCUGAGAAUUGGCGUAUAAAGUAAACAUUAAUUUUUUUAAAUGGUCAUUCCUUUUUAGUCAUGUAACCCAAUACCUCAUAGAAUGUUCUAUUUUUUGGAUUUUUUAGGGAGGGGGAGGGGGUGGACAUUUAGUUUAAAUUUUAUCAAAACCUUGUAGUAAUGGAGUAAUUUAUUCCAGAAAAACAACCCAUUUUUCCAACUUGCUAUCAAAUGUCUGGAAAACGGAGGUGUUUAUAUGAGAUCUGUAGAAGGAAGGAAUUCGUAACAGUUGGCUUGUGGGCAACAUCUGCCUGUUGGUUUUAGACUCCUAUUCAAAUAUUAGAUAUUUAUCCUUGUUAUCAAUUGGAACCUGCCAUUUUCUUGAUGCAGAGUUCCAGGAAAUCUGGUCAGACAAGAUCCUCAGUUCGAAAAAUCAAACGAAAAGGACUGGAUGUAUAUUAGUUUCUUGUGCAAGAGCUACACAAGUGCUCAAAACCGAAAUGCCAACUUUAAAAACACCCUGUAUUUUCUUCAGUUGUGUGUGAGUAGUAUGCGAAGAAUCUUCUGUCUAUAUUUAUCAUGUCCAAAUAAAGGAUGCAGCCGGCCAUAUUCCCCCCUCCUUUUUAUAAACAUGGCAAAUGUUAGAGCUGUUGUGGUAAUUAAGUGAAAACUAAUUAACUGAGAGCUGUAUUCGUUUAAUGGGAGUAUGGAUUGUCACCACAAUGACCAGCUCUGAUUUCUACAUUGGGGAUCUAAUCAAUAGGAUGUAGGUGGCCAACUAUGUUUUCACCAACUAGAUCAUGAGAUGGUCUGAUGAGCUCACAAAAAUGGAAGAGGCCCAAAUAGAAUUGGUCUAUGUCACAGAUAGAAUCAUUUGUAUGUCAUUUAUAUCUGAAGGCCAUAAUGUGGAAUAUCAGAGGGAUCUUCACGAUGUGUUUCAUAUGCUUCGCACAAAACAUGGCGAAAAUGUCUUGGUCAUAAAUAUCUCUGAACCGAGAGAUGACCUACAACGAGCCAAUAACCAGAAGGUCAUCGACUUUGGGUGGCCGGAGCAUCUGGCUCCACCCCUGGAACGGUUGUGUAAUAUCUGCAAGAGUCUGGACUCCUGGUUGAACUCUGACCUUGGUCAUGUGGUCGUCCUGCACUGUAAAGGUGGGCGGGGUCGCCUGGCUGUCAUCAUCGCAGCCUUCCUGAAUUACAGCAACAUCUGCUCAAGCUCAGAACAGCUUUUGGACAGAAUGGCUAUGAACCGGUUCUAUGAUGAUAAACUCGGUGGACUCAAAAAGCCUUCCCAUAGAAGGUACAUAGAGUACUUUUCUGGGCUCCUUUCGGGUGCAAUAAAGAUCAACUCUAGCCCCCUGUACCUCCAUCACCUGGUCAUGCACGGAGUCCCCAACUUUGACAGCCGGGGUGGGUGUCGGCCCUACAUCACGGUCUACCAGAGCAUGCAGCCGGUGUUUACAUCUGGGGUCUACAAUGUAACUGAUCAGAUGCAGAAGGUCUGCAUUUCAAUAUCUCCGGGGAUUCCCCUGCGAGGGGACAUCAUGAUCAACUGCUACCACAAGGCCCACUCCGGCCACAAGGACCCGAUCUGGAAGUGCCAGUUCCAUACCUGCGCUAUCUCCAACUACAACCUCUUGUUCAGCAAAGAGGAGCUGGAUGAUGCAGACCGAGAUCCAAGGUUCCCAGACAAUGGGAAAAUAGAAUUUGUGUUUGGUCCAAAUCAGGAUGCUGUUGUACCAGUGACAGACUUCAAGUCGGAUGUAACAGUUCCAGUGGAAGACAAUAUGGAUGAGCUGGCGGGUCAGGAGUCAAGGGUUAUUGACGGAUAUACAAAAAUUGAAAGUGUUCUUAGGAGAGAUGAGCAGAGUUCGUCGUAUGCCACAGACACCAAAAGAAUGCAGAACAACAACAACGCUAAGUCUUACGGCUCCCAGAGUUACAACACCUCAUACUCAACCAACGCCAAGCAGUCCGUCACUCCUCUGGAUGAACAGACUCAGUUAGAUGAUAUUUUGAGUAACUUACUUAAUGACCAAGUGAUCAGUCCUAAAUCAGGUGCCAGCACCAUGUCCAAGGAAACCCGGACGUUCAGGACCUACGAAACACACACCUGGAGCGGAUGGAAAGACGGUGCACCAAAAUGCAGAGGUUACCUACAAACUACCAGGUGAGGUGAAAGAGGAAAGGCAUUACACAGUGAAGACAGAGAAAUCCACUUCUCCGUACAUGCCAACAAAAGCAUUUAGUUACACAACCUCUCCCGAGAUGGCUCGUAAAUUUGACAGCCCCAAAUCGAACACUCUUCCUUAUAAAACGGAUUACGACAAUCGAUAUCAGUCCGAUCUGUCAUCAUCAUCAUACAGCACUAUGCAGAAUGGAAAAACGGUGUCGGAUACGGAUUCUUGGCUGCAACAGCAGCAGAAAAAACUGAGGGACAAGAAGGAUUAUAAGGAUGAUUUUCGUGUUCAGCAGGAAAAGAAACUGGUUGAAGAGUUGCGCUCAGGCCCAAAAUCGUUACAUGACAAAGCGGGCUCAGAGUGAAGAGGAAGCCAGCAGUGUGAAAAAUUCCAGUCUGUCAAACGGCCCCUGCCUCUGCCCCUCCCCACGGAUACAGCUACUCGAUGUCAAGAACUCAUGCCUACUCUACAGAGAAACCUCCAGGCACUUUCUCCUCAGGUGAUUCAACUUUCGAUUCUAGAGUAACAAAACCCACAAGUCCAAUCAGGGGGCUGCAAACAAAGGUCAUAAUACAGCCAACUUCUGCCCCUAUCUCCCCUCCUAUGCGAUCCAGUAGUAAGAACUACAUGCAGCGAUCUCGUACUCUUAGCAAUAGUGCAGUGGAUGGAAAUGGGCCUCAGAAGCUACUAAGGCAGAGCUCUGAUGUGACCUUUGACCGUAAGGAUGAUAUCCAGCCCCCUGUUAUUCGUCAAAUUACCAUUACAACCCCUCCCCGUAGCCCCCGGCCUUUCUCCCCCACUUAUCAGACAAGUACAUAUAGGUAUUCUAAUCGAUCAGCUGCUAGCUUGUCUCCUCCAGUUGAACGAAAGACAUUUCAGAGGGACUUCAUGACGCCUCCAGUUCAAGAGCCGUCUGUGAUGAGGCAAACCACUCACAGAUCAUUUUCUUCUUCUGAUUCUGACAAAUACAAAACCAAGAGCCUACCUCGACAUGCAGCAACUAAGUCAAAAGUCACAGAAAUUCACGAAUCGGCUAUACCAGAAGGCAAGAAAAAAUCUCAUUAUAUAACUGAGGUCUAUGUACACCGCAGUCCAGGAGCAGUGCCCACAGGAAACGUAGAAAAAUCAUACAAGACUGAGCGAGAUCAUUUGGAAUCAAAUAAAUUGGACGAUCUGAAACAGUCGUUGAGUUCGGUCAACAACACCUGUGCUAAAUCAACCGAAUCUGAACCAACAGAGCACGCCGGGAGGAUACACCCAGGAGCAUGUUGUCACCAGAAGGGUGGAGACCCGCAAGUAUGAAACAAACUACCAGCAACAGCAGCAGCAGCAACAAGAGCAACAGAUGUCCAAUACCAUGCUUGGACAGUCCUAUGCCGCCACCCCCAAGACUUCUCGGACUGUGGAGGAGGACCGCUUCAGCCUUAGACCCAUAGGGCCUGGAAUGCAGCCCCUGGAGCCCUGAAGGCUCACCUACAAACGUGGGAACCCUAAACCGUUCCACCACCCCCAGUUUCCCUACAGCCACCACCCCAAGUUUUCCGGUCAGCCCAGGAAUGUACACAGACAACAGUCAACUGAUGAGAGAACAUCAAGCCCAUAAUCAAACCUUGGAAAGACAACAACAACAACAACAACAACAGCAACAACAACAACACUUCCAGUAUCAACAGAACUACCAAACCAGCCACCAGCAACACAGCUACCAGACUAGCCAGCAACAGCACCAGCAACAUCAGCAGCAUUACCUGACAGAGGAUCAGCAACACAUGGGCACACGCAGCCCGCUUCACAUAGACACCUCCAGCCCUCAAAUGAUGUCCAACGUCAUUGGUUCAAGGAGUCCAGCUAGCCCUCACUCCCCUGAGACACUGAACACCCUGAGACAUCAGCUCCACGUGGCCAGUAACAAUGUGUCGCAGUCACACUCCGCCGCCCUCAGUCCUAACACGGUCACCGGUCAGAGCUCCCCCAGCGUCUACUUCGGACUCUCUCGGAGGGGAAGCUUGUCAUCUGUAGCUGAUUCAGUAGAUGCUACCCAUGCAACACCAAAGUUUGUUAAAGACACCUCCAAAUACUGGUACAAGCCCAACAUAUCCAGAGAGGAAGCCAUCCAAUUGUUGAAAGACAAAGCACCUGGAACCUUUGUAGUUAGGGACAGUAACUCUUUCCCGGGUGCAUUUGGUUUAGCGCUGAAGGUUGCGACGGUCCCAGCUAAUGUCCAGACAAAGUCCACUGGGGACCCAUCAGUUGAUCUCGUUAGGCAUUUCCUAAUCGAACCCACCCCUAAAGGUGUUAGACUACGAGGAUGCAACAAUGAACCUGUUUUCGGAAGCUUGGCUUCAUUAGUGUACCAGCAUUCAUUGACACCAUUGGCCUUGCCAUGUAAAUUAGCUCUACCAGAACCAGACAAUAUUCAUGACCAUGUCGAUGGCCCAACAUCACCAGACCUACCUAGUUCUGCUGCAGCUCUUCUUGCCCAGGGCGCAGGUAAGGGGGAAUCUAUAUUUUUUACUUUCCAAAUAAAUACAUCACAUUGUGCACCCUAUUUUAGAGACAAUUGGAUGAUUUUUCAGAACAAAAUUUUAAAUGAAAAAAUCUUUGUUCUCUUGUUUUUAGCUUGCAAUGUCCUGUACCUAAACUCAGUGGACACGGAGUCCCUUACAGGGCCCCAAGCUGUCGCCAAGGCAAUCAAGCAGACGUUUGAUGGUAGCCAGAAACCAAAGCAGACUGUUGUUCAUUUCAAAGUCUCUAAUCAGGGUAUUACUCUCACAGAUAACCAAAGAAAGUAAGUGUUCUUAGGGAUUAUUGGAUAUCGAAUAACAGUAUCCAAAAUUAUCAAAUUACGCAGAUAGUGAACCCUGGUUGGUUUUAUUUUUUACAAGAAUACACCGAACAUUUUAUAUUCAGUAUGCAAUACAUAUAUUAGACGCUUAACAUUUUUACUGUGCAAACGCAUAUCCUUUCUUUAGCUGCAAUACCACUAAUAUAGCGAUUUUAGAGUAUUUUGACUCGACAUUUUUUGGAGAGGUAACACUCUCUCAAUAAGUUUGGAGAGAGCUGCACUAUUGCACUUAUCCUUUGUGGAAGAUCCAGGAUGGGAAAAUUACUAAAUUUUUUGUUUUAGAAAAAUUGAUUUUCUAAGAAAAUUUACAAUAUUGAUCAAGUAUGUUGAGAAUAUUUUUGUGAGUCACAAACACAUAGGCCAGAAUGUAAUCAAAUUCACACACUUUUUCAGGCUCUUCUUCAGAAGACACUACCCUGUCUCCUCUGUCACAUACUGUGGAAUGGACCCCGAAGGAAAACAAAUAUUCGGUUUUGUGGCAAAGAAACAGAGCGGAGGAAAUGACAACACUUGCCACCUGUUUGCUGAAUUAGAUCCUGGUCAACCAGCAUCUGCCAUUGUCAAUUUUGUAACAAAGGUCAUGAUUGGUCAAGGAAAGAAAGACUGAAGAGAACUAACUUUUCAUUGGUUUAUGAUUUUCUCACCAUAACUUACAUUGGUCUGGAUACAUCGGACAUGUAAAGAUCAGUGCUUAGAUAGCUUUAAUCGUGUAUUUUGUCAUGCUGCAAGAUAUUAUUAUUUAUUCUCAAAUAAAAAAUUUAAGAGAUCUGAAUUGCACAAUGAAGCCCUGGCACAGAGGUGGAGAACUCCACAGGAUAGAGAGCAUUCCCCCACCCAGAGGAACAGAAAAACCAGAGGGGAUUUUUACAUCCAAGGAUAUUGAAUAUUAUUGUGUGUCUUGAUAUUGUAUCUGUGUUACAAAUGUAUAUUUUUGUAUGCGUUAGAAGGAACUUGUAAAGAUGUUGAAUGAAUUUUCUUUUUAGAACCCUAUUUUAUCCUUGUAUCAAACCCACUUGAUUUUUUAACAGUAGCAAAAUGAUUUUACAUACUGCUGAAUUAGACGAUGCAUUAGCAAGCAUCUCAUUGUCUAAAUAUACUGUCUGUGCUGGUAUAAAUCAAAUGUUUAACCACACUGAGAACAAUAUGUAACCAUAUUGCUCCAAAGUUGGAAUGCAUGUUAAUGUGAUCAUAUCAUAAAUCAUUAUGCAAUUCUUUGUUGUUAAUGCCCCCCUCCCCAGUACCCCCACCCCAAACAAUAUCAAGUGUGUAUUAGUUACGAGACUAUAGCUUUUGUCCAGAGAUGUUGAUUAUAUAAACAACAAACUUAGAUGGUAGCGUCUUCCACAACAAAAUGCCGCUGUUGGCAUUCGGGCUCUGUUGUUCUCGAUCGGGUAAUUUCUUACGUUUGUUUUUGUCAUUGUGUGUUGAAGAAAAAAGUUGUUGUCCGUUUGUAGAUAAAUCUUAUUAUCGUAUACACUGUUAUCAACAAUCACCGCAUUUAUGUUUUCAUGAAAAUUUGUUUACUAGUAUAUCAACUAUUGACCAUCUUUUUUUUUUUCAUUUUUUUUAAAAAAAAGAUUUAUUGGUUGUUCUCGCCAGAGGUUGUAUUUUUUACUCUGAAUCAAAAUGUGAUAGAAAUAAAAUGAUCUGCAUUAUAAAUAAAUUUAAUUUUCAGCCACUACCAGAUACAUUUACAUUUUUUACAGAAAUAUUAUAUAUAUAUACCACAAAAUAUACACUUUUUGUUUGGCUCUUGCAUUAAGAUUUGGUAAUGUAUUGAAGAAAGUGUUCAAAACGGCAUGGAAUUUCACUGCUGGUCUUUUCAUGAUCAUGUAAUGUGUGUGUGAUAUAUUACUUUGCUGUAGAAGCGUACAUGUGUAUUUCUACAAUGUACAAUUAUAUGAAGCAAUUAGUUGUUGUGUACAUAUAUAUUCAGCUAUAUACAUUGGGUGUGAAAUAUUUAAACCAUAUUGUUGAGGUUAUCCUCUUUAUUUAUUGCUGUUUUCUCCCCUUCCCUAUUUUUACCAUUUAUUCCUUUAUAUAAUUAUUUGAAAAACCAUCAAAGAAUUAAAGUUAGAGUUCUUGCCUGCUUAUAAUUUUUAUAUACAGUACUUACUGAGGAAUAUUUAGGCCAAAAUUAUUGAUAGACAUUUUUUUUCUUCUACAAUUAAGAUUUUAUUUUAUGUGUAUAUUUCUUAUGGUAGCUACGAAUGAAAUAUGUAAAUUUAAAGUCAAAUUCACUUUAUUUUCUCCCUCCCCUGUGAUAUUAAAUGAUGAUAUUCAUUGAACAAAAUUAAUCUUAUUUUUUGAAAUUGAUUUUUUUUUUUUGAUCUGACACAUAAGAGGGCUUUUUGGGUUCCUUCAGUUCAUGAGAAGAAAAGGAGCCCAUUCUCUUGCCACAACUCUCAACUGCAUUUGAUUAAAAAAAAUAAAUGUACUUUUUGGAAAGUUUUUGUUAUUUUAUGAACUGUAUAUUGAUCAUAGGACUCCAGAAAACAGCUGGUUUACUGCCGAUUGAAGGAGUUCUACGACUAGGGUGCUAUUAUCUCAUAUGCAUGAGUAUAUAUGUUCUAAAAAUGUGUGCGAGGUAUUUGCUUUUAAUAUAUAUACCGUAUAAAUAUGAAUCUGUACUUAUAGUGUUUCAGCUUUAUUUUGGAUAAUGGUUUAUAUGUAUGUAUAAUACAUGUAUAUAUAUACAUUUUGUACUGUGUUAUAUAAAACAUGUACUUCUAGUGCUCAUGAAAUCAGGGCACAUCAGUAGCUAUGAACAGACGAAAAAACCAUGUACUAUUCACCUCAGUUUGUACAUUGCGAAUUACAUGUACUUUCUUUUAGUCUAGGUAGGGUCUUUUUCGAUAAUUUAGAAAAAUUGUUUGGAAGAACUGAUGAAAAAUGAACAGCCAGUGAAUUAGAUGGAAAUAUGACUGUAAAUUUAGUUCAAAUUUAGCCCCAGCACCCCCUGUACAAUCCUAGAGUUCAAAGUUCUGUUAGCAGGCAACUGAAUAAAAUGACCUAGAUAACUUGGUCGGUGGAUCAAUUAAAUAUACUGAAGAAGUCAUUUUUUUUCCAUUGGUUGUUGUUACUUAGUCUCAAUGGCAACACAUUUAUUGGUUUGGUUUAAUUGGGGUUUUGAAGGAUUGGACAGGGUGUGCUUUAGAUAUGAAUUCUAAUUUUGUUGUACCAUUCUAAUAUGUAUGCAAUAAAUUUCGUUUUUAGUGUGCAUAUCUCUUGUUUUCCUUCACCAACUCUUGGAACAAUUUGCGCCACUGAUAUCAGACUUGUAUGAAUAAAUGAAACAAAUUUAUUACAGUACAUGCAAAGUUCCUUUGAAGAUCUUAUGAUUG